GAUGAACGCUGGCGGCGUGCUUAACACAUGCAAGUCGAACGAACCUUCGGGUUAGUGGCGGACGGGUGAGUAACGCGUGAGAAUCUGCCCUCAGGAGGGGGACAACAGCUGGAAACGGCUGCUAAUACCCCAUAUGCCGCGAGGUGAAAUGAAUUUCGCCUGAGGAUGAGCUCGCGUCUGAUUAGCUAGUUGGUGUAGGUAAUGGCUCACCAAGGCAUCGAUCAGUAGCUGGUCUGAGAGGAUGAUCAGCCACACUGGGACUGAGACACGGCCCAGACUCCUACGGGAGGCAGCAGUGGGGAAUUUUCCGCAAUGGGCGAAAGCCUAGACGGAGCAACGCCGCGUGAGGGAUGAAGGCCUCGUGGG
rnacentral:rRNA from 1 species